rnacentral:misc_RNA from 1 species
UGAAGUCAAACAUGCUUGUGC